rnacentral:misc_RNA from 1 species
CCCUUUAAAUUGUAAUGCACGACCACAACUUGUAAAACUUUACUUGUAAAAAAGAGAUAAGUCUAUCUACAUCUGCUGUAAAAUUAGAAAAAAGUUGGAGAAGCUAUAUUUUAAAGAGAAAUGGAUACAAAAAAUACAUUUUGUUUUUUAAGUGGGGAUUUUUUGUGAAAACUGCGUUUUGCAAGUGUUGUUACUUGUUUACGUUGACUGAGAAAUCGUGGUAAUCAAAAUCAAAUAUUAAAACAGUAUGUAAUGUGUAGGUAGAGUUUCGUCUUAUUUACAGGACGAAGUUAUUUGUGUUUGUUUACCUUUCAAUUAAUCGAAUAAGUCUUAGAAUGGAAAUAUUACUGCCUGAAGAGAUAGUAGUGAAAAUCGGUUUAUACUUAGAUGCUAAGGAUGUUCUAAGCAGUUGUUUGGUGUCUAAAUUCUGGAGGAACGCACUCAAUAACAACAAAAUUUGGUUUAACUUGUGUCGGAAAGAGUUUUGGUUGGAAAAGAUGGAGAACCCGAUUUUAGAUGUUAGGAGUUGCCGGUUUUAUCCAGCAUUUUCUCACCCUGUGAACGAUUGUGACCAACUGUCUGAUAUUUGCCCUUGGAGGGUGCGCUUCAUGCAGGAAAUGAGGAUAUCGAGAAAUUGGAAAAAUGGUAAAUUUCGUGAACAGCCAAUGAGAGAAGCUGAGGCACAGGAAUUGGAGCGGAUAUCGAAGGUGGAUAUGCUAUGCGGUGAAGAUUUUAUAAUCGCUCCUUACCAGAUGAACAACACUCAUAAAUUUAGGAUCUGGGAAUUCAAGAACGAUAUUUUUGAAACGGUUCCCAUAGUUUGCUCUCAUCGUUUUGAAAAUGUAGACUUUUUUAAUCUCACCGACUGUGGUUUUAUAUAUGUACAGUCAAACUUGUUGGUGUAUUAUGUCAAAAAAGAAAAUUGUAUUUUUACACGCCAGUUGCGAGUGUUAAUUACUGAAGAACCAACAGCUUCAAAAAAUAUUCCCGAUGAUGAAGACAUCACAAAUUGGUACGACAAAAAUGUGAAACAAACACAUGGGUUUUAUUCUUUCUGUAACAGCAGCAGGUAUUUUGUCGCACCAAUUUCAUACAUAUCUGGUGCUAAGUUUCACAUUUGGGACAUCCAGGAAGGUACUAAACGCACUGAAUUCUUAAAUCCUGGAAUGAAUUUUUUUGAUAUAUCUAUGAGGCUAACACUUCGGAAUUCUACAUUAUUGAUAGAUUUUGCAUUUCAGGGUGCUGGCCCUGUCAACUUUUACCCUAUAUUCCAUUACGAUUUGAACACAAAAACUUUCACUAAAAUAAAUAUGAGUAUCCCUUGUCCUGUGAGGUACCCGUUAAUAACUGAAGAGCACAUAAUUAGUAUGGAUCACAAUGCGCAUUCAGUCGCAUUUUGGGAUAACAAAACUGGUGCUGUUGUUUCUACAAUAAAUUAUGAUGAGAACUUCUCAACAAAUGAUGAUGAUUUAAUGCUCAUCAGUCCAUCUUAUAUUACUGUUUUCAGUAGCUCCAAGGGUAAAAUUAGGUUGUUUAGUACAAAAUCCAUUAAUUUUGAUGGAGAAAUAAUGGUGAAUGACUAUCUUGAUUCUAUUCAAUUCAUUAAGCCUGAUAUGAUACUUGUACAGAUAGAUUCAAUGUACAAGAGGGAUCAAAUUUUUACAGAAUUAUGGGAUAUAAAAACUAGACAAAAAGUGCAAACCUGUUACCCGACUUGCUGUCUAAUUAACAAAUCUAGGACUAAAAUGAUUGAUAUAAAACAACAUCGCAUUCUGCAUUUUUGGGAAACUUAGAAUUGACUACAUAGCUGCUUUGUAAUCACUACAGUGUGUGGCCAAUGAAAUAAGUCUGUUAACAUCAAAUUUACAACAUAUUGAAAAUUAUUUAAUCAAAUUACUAAAUAUAAGCACAGGUAUAAAAUGGUGAAUAACCUAAAAUCAGAAUAAAGUAACAGUAAGUAAUUAAUAAUAUUAAUUUGUUGAAGUAGUGAGGAGCAGUCAGGAACCUCAACAAAUUUUGAAACGACAAACAUUGAACAAUUGGUCACUAAAUAACACAUAUUAUUUCUAAAAUUUGUUCAACAUGUUCUCAUUUAAGCGUAAGUGUGCUCAAGUGGAUUUAUGACAUUACAAAGGGCUAUAAUUCUGCUGAUAUUAAUAUUUUCCUCAAAAUUUAUAACACUGUGUGUAUUACAGAUGUCAAAAAACAUCAAAUUUACCUAAUUUUCUUUAGCCGAGAUUAGACUACAAUAGUUACAUUAAAAACAUCAUGACAGGCUAUGUUAAUAUUAAUACAAUUUAUAAAAUAACAGUAGGCUCCUUUCUUUUCUCCCAGAUGUUAACAAAAUGGUCAAUCGCUAAAAUAGAAAUAGCAGCCUGGGGGGAUAGAGACUAGAUAAUCUCGACUAUAGGAAAUUAUUUGAACAUAUGCAUAUUUUUUAAUGAUCUUAAAAAAAAAAAAAAAAAAAAAAAAAAAAAAA